GGGAAAGAGAGGAGGGGGUCCAGUGCCUUGCCCAGUAGCACCAGAUCCAGAAAGAUCAGCCACAAGUCCUGGGGAGUUGUGACUAUACUUCAGCACUCACUGAUUGGCCAGAGGCCAUUGUGACAUCAGUCCUACACCUGACUGGACAUUGUGAGGGCUUCCUGCUGGAAUGUGAGAUGCAGGCGGAGUUGUCAGGCUACGGACACUUUACAAGACGGUGGUGAAAGCUGAAACACUCCUCUCGGUCAGCGAGCACUCAUUGUCCAUACAGAUUCAGAAAUGGAGAACAGGAAACACCAGGAAAUAUUGACUCACCUACUGAAGGUCCUGGUGAAACCUCACUGGUCCUUUGUGUUCACCUGUCCACUGCUGAGCUAGCAGUUUGGCUGCCGCCCUUUAGCACUCUCCAGACGUGGUCCCCAAGUGAAUCAGAGGACAGAGCGGCAAAUCCCACUGCUGCUGCUGCUGCUAACAUGCCACUGUGGUGCAGGAAGUCAACGGAGCCAAACUCCUGGUUCUAUACCCUUUACACACACAGAAAAAAAUUCCACAUUAUUGUGCGUCCAAGUCAGGCUCUCGCUGCCCCCUGCCCCCCUCGCCCUGCACUUCAUGCUACAAAUUAUUAAAGAGAUAUUUAGCUGCCACUCCAUUCCAUCUAAGGAGACAAAAACCUCUUCCGCUUGAAGUCACCACAGAUCCAUCAGAGUCUGGCCACUGCCUGUCACUCGUGCAUCACACACCUCAUUCAUAUUAAAGAGAGGUUGUUCUGCAGGGUUUAAACACCA